rnacentral:rRNA from 1 species
AUUGAACGCUGGCGGCAUGCCUUACACAUGCAAGUCGAACGGUAACAGGUCUUCGGAUGCUGACGAGUGGCGAACGGGUGAGUAAUACAUCGGAACGUGCCUAGUAGUGGGGGAUAACUACUCGAAAGAGUGAAUAAUACCGCAUGAGAUCUACGGAUGCAAGCAGGGGAUCGCAAGACCUUGUGCUACCAGAGCGGCCGAUGGCAGAUUAGGUAGUUGGUGGGAUAAAAGCUUACCAAGCCGACGAUCUGUAGCUGGUCUGAGAGGACGAUCAGCCACACUGGGACUGAGAAACGGCCCAGACGCCUACGGGAGGCAGCAGUGGGGAAUUUUGGACAAUGGGCGCAAGCCUGAUCCAGCAAUGCCGCGUGCAGGAUGAAGGCCUUCGGGUUGUAAACUGCUUUUGUACGGAACGAAAAGCCCCGGGUUAAUACCCUGGGGUCAUGACGGUACCGUAAGAAUAAGCACCGGCUAACUACGUGCCAGCCGCCGCGGUAAUAC